UACAGAGGGGGCAAGCGUUGUUCGGAAUUACUGGGCGUAAAGGGCGCGUAGGCGGCCUUCUAAGUCGAACGUGAAAUCCCCGGGCUCAACCCGGGAACUGCGUCCGAUACUGGAAGGCUUGAAUCCGGGAGAGGGAUGCGGAAUUCCAGGUGUAGCGGUGAAUGCGUAGAUAUCUGGAGGAACACCGGUGGCGAAGGCGGGUCUGCUGGGCCGGAUACUGACGCUGAGGAGCGAAAGCGUGGGGAGCGAACAGGAUUGAGAUACCCGUUG
rnacentral:rRNA from 1 species